CGCACGGGUGCGUAACGCCGUGGGAAUCUGCCCUCAGGUACGGAAUAACUCAGGGAAACUUGAGCUAAUACCGUAUAAUGACUUCGGUCCAAAGAUUUAUCGCCUGAGGAUGAGCCCGCGUCGGAUUAGCUAGUUGGUGAGGUAAAAGCUCACCAAGGCGACGAUCCGUAGCUGGUCUGAGAGGAUGAUCAGCCACACUGGGACUGAGACACGGCCCAG
rnacentral:rRNA from 1 species